CACACACACAGAGAGAGAGGCAGAGACACAGGCAGAGGGAGAAGCAGGCUCCAUGCACCGGGAGCCUGACGUGGGAUUCGAUCCUGAGUCUCAAGGAUCGCGCCCUGGACCAAAGGCAGGCGCCAAACCGCUGCGCCACCCAGGGAUCCCUACUGCAGUAUUUCCUACUGUGAAGCCCCCAUUCCAGGGAUCCCUACUGCAUGUAUUAAAAAUCAAAAAGCCAACAAAAUCUUUCAUUUGCUAAGGGAAAGUUUAAACUACUGAGCCUUGAUCUGCUUACACAUACCCCCAAAGUAUUUUUGGAACUCCGACUGAAGUUAAGAAACACCCACCGUGGUCACAUAUGCCUUCAUUUCACACUCAGAACUGGAGAGAAGUGCAAGUGCUCCUGGAAUCAGUGGGGUUUUUUUCUUUUUAAAAGAUUUUAUUUAUUUAUUUAUAAGAGAGACACAGAGAGAGAGGCAGAGACACAGGCAGAGGGAGAAGCAGGCUCCCUGCAGGGGCCCGAUGUGGGACUCAAUCCUAGGAGUCCGGGAUCACACCCUGGGCUGAAGGCAGAAGCUCCACUGCUGAGCCACCCAGGGAUCUCCCUCCUUUUUUUUAAAGAUCUUAUUUAUUCAUCAGAGCACACAAGCAGGGGGAGAGGGAGAGGGAGAAGCUGACUCCUCGCUGAGCAGGGAGCCCUGGGAUCAUGAUCUGAGCCAAAGGUAGAUGCUUAACGAACUGAGCCAUCCAGGUGCCCUGGAAUCUGUGUUUAUACCAGGUUCCUCCAGUCAGAUGUUUGAGAAUGCUGUGGUCUGCAACAUAAAAGUGUCUCCCCCAAGGAAAUCUUGCCUGGGGACAUCCGAUCCUUGGCACCAUCAUGAUGUUUUUCGAGGGCCUGUCUGCAGGCCAUCUAGCUCUAAGGGUGCAUCAAGCCCCAUCCUGUGUCUUCCUGCAGGUGGAUGUCAUUGGGCCUCUGCACUUCUCUUGGGACAUCAUGGCAGCCCCGCUGGGCUGAGACCGGCAGAACCCAUGUCACUCGGACACAUGCCCCAUGGCCACUGCAGCCCCCACUCCCGCAGGAGCAGCUGCUCAGUGCUCUCCCACUGGGUUGCAUUUACCUUCAGCAAAGUCACAAACAGACGUCUUGUCAGGGCCCUCAGGCACCAUUGACUGAUAGGGAAAGCCCCUGAUGGUCCCAUGGAGCCUCCACGACGAGAGGGAUGAGGAGAUGGCAGCAGAGGUGACUACAUUGGAGGACAUGGUGGCUGACAGAGGGGACAGGCACCACUGAUGACCUGAUUGAGCUGUCUGUGUCUGGAAGCCAAGGACCUGUUUCUGGAAGACUUGCAGCAUCUGUGAGGAGCCUGAGCAUCAUCAUCAUCACUGUAGGCGGAUCUGACCACUGACCCUCAGGGGCUCAGAAUCCCCAUUCUUUAGCUCUUAGGUGGCCACUGAUAGCUCAGGAACACUCCUCUGCACCAGGAUGGCUGAAGGAACUGCAUUUGGAUUUGGGGGCUUCUGCUGUGUGGGUUGGGCACAAAAACAGUUUAUUUACCAAAGUUCCAGUGGAUGUAGCUCUACGAUGAUGGUUGUGCCCAAACCCUUGUAUUUGUGUAUCUAUUGAGGAUGGACAUUCAAUGAGUAUUUCUUGAUUUUUUUCUGUGUGUGUAAUAUCACAAUUUGUUUGAAGCCAACAUUCUAGGACACACAAAAUAGAAAGGACGUAAGUAAAAUAUGCAUUUUGUGGAUGGUGGUGAUUCCUAAGAAGAAAAAACAGCUGGGGGUAGGAGUGUGCUGAGGAC
rnacentral:lncRNA from 1 species